rnacentral:rRNA from 1 species
AACGAACGCUGGCGGCAUGCCUAACACAUGCAAGUCGAACGAGACCUUCGGGUCUAGUGGCGCACGGGUGCGUAACGCGUGGGAACCUGCCCUUAGGUUCGGAAUAACUCCCCGAAAGGGGUGCUAAUACCGGAUAAUGUCUUCGGACCAAAGAUUUAUCGCCUUUGGAUGGGCCCGCGUUGGAUUAGCUAGUUGGUAGGGUAAAAGCCUACCAAGGCGACGAUCCAUAGCUGGUCUGAGAGGAUGAUCAGCCACACUGGGACUGAGACACGGCCCAGACUCCUACGGGAGGCAGCAGUGGGGAAUAUUGGACAAUGGGCGAAAGGCUGAUCCAGCAAUGCCGCGUGAGUGAUGAAGGCCUUAGGGUUGUAAAGCUCUUUUACCCGGGAUGAUAAUGACAGUACCGGGAGAAUAAGCGCCGGCUAACUCCGUG